AGAUUGAACGCUGGCGGCAGGCCUAACACAUGCAAGUCGAGCGGCAGCACGGGUACUUGUACCUGGUGGCGAGCGGCGGACGGGUGAGUAAUGCCUAGGAAUCUGCCUGGUAGUGGGGGAUAACGCUCGGAAACGGACGCUAAUACCGCAUACGUCCUACGGGAGAAAGCAGGGGACCUUCGGGCCUUGCGCUAUCAGAUGAGCCUAGGUCGGAUUAGCUAGUUGGUGAGGUAAUGGCUCACCAAGGCGACGAUCCGUAACUGGUCUGAGAGGAUGAUCAGUCACACUGGAACUGAAGACACGGUACCAGACUCCUACGGGAGGCAGCAGGUAGGGGGAAAUAGUUGGAACAAGUGGGACGAAAAGGCCUGAAGUCCCAAGGCCAUGGCCCGCGGUGUGUAGGAAAGUAAGGUCGUUCGGAAUUUAG
rnacentral:rRNA from 1 species